UCUUUGGGCGGUGAGUGCCAGAGGGCCCCAGUCACCCAGAACCCCCACCCCGAGUCAAAGCGCUGAAAUGAGCCCCGCGGCAGCUGUGGAGGAGUGGGAAGGUUGAGUGGAGGAAGGGAUAUCUGCCUCCAACCACGCUAGACCCGACCUGCUGUCACCGCCCGCCCCAGCUGGAUCCAGAAUGGAAACCUGGAAUAGCAGGCAAAGCCACCCCCGACACUCCAUGUUCCUCCCCAGAACCAGCUCCCUCUCCUACCAGCUGAAUUUUCAGGACAGAGCUGCCAGGUGGCCAGUCCACAGGUGGAAGUGGAAGGAGAUUGAAAGGACCUGGGAAGAGGUUCAUUGGUCAUGGUGCCUGGCUGGUGCUUUCCAAAGCCAAGGUUGCUGGUGUGUGCCUGACAGUUCCAUAGGAAGUAGGGACUUCUGGGAGGGAGGAGGAGGUGGAAGGUGCCCUGGUCAGCAAAGUGGGGUCCAAGCCUUCUAGUCCCAACUGGGCACAUCACUUCAUCUCUGAGAGUCUCAUUUUCUUCAGCCACAACUAAUGAACAAAGUCUCCUUCAGCUCCCAAAUCCGAAUAGCUUUAAGGAUAUCCCCUGCUUGCUGCUUGUUAUUAUGUCAGGCCCUGUGCUAAGCGCUUUGCAUAUAUUACCUCAUUUAAUCCCCAUUUUGGAAGUCAGGAAACAGCCUCUGAGACAUUUUGUAACUUAGCUAAGGUCACUCAGUUGACAAAUAGUGAAGUGAUGGGAUUCAGUAGCCUCUGCUGCUAGCCACUGCCUCAGGGCAGGUAAUUAUUUCUAUGAAUUCAGCAGGGCCAAGCCAACUAGACUAAGCAAAAGAAAUGAGGAUCCAAAAAAAUUCAUGCGCUUUUUCAUGCGCGGUGAAUGCAGGAAAAGUCAUAUAUAUAUAUGGCUAUGUAAAUCAGCAACUGCAAUAUUUGAAUCAGCAUGAAUAAAAAACCAUUCCUCUGUCUCUUAAAAAAAUAGGCAGAUCUGUUUUCUUCUUCCUCAUUUCUAUCUGAGCCUCUGUACCAAGGAGAAACGGGAAUAAGACAGGACUAGAUUCUUCCCAAACACCAGGUGAUGCGGUCAGUGAGGAGAGCUCCAGAAUCAAAAGAUGAAGAAGGACCUGCCUCUAGCCCCCAAGAGGUAUGCUGUUCUUCCCACACAUCUCAGCUCUCUCCCAGCACUGAGUCCAGCCCUCCACAGAAAGGGGAGGAAAAUGCCCACCCCUAGCCCUGCCCUUCCCCAACCCUCCACACAUCACUCCUUCUUCUUCCUGCCCUCCUGCACAGUCUGAUAAUGGUGCUCUCUCUUGCUCAGCCCUUUAGCCCUGCAGACCUAGGACAGGGCAUGACUUGGGAAGGCUCCUGUGCACAGGGUGCACUGGAGGAGGUGCCCCAGGCCCUGGGCCAUGGAGAUAAUUGUGUAUCUGCUUCUCUUUUACCUUUUGGGUGGGUAGCCUCUCCUUUUUUAAGGGACACUGACUUCAACCAUGUCUACUAAUCCCUCAGUAUGGCUCCCUGGGCACUCAAGAGCAACAGUUCCAGGCAGGGACCCCCACAUCCUACUCUAAUUACUACUGCAGACACAGAGGAGACCAAUUCCAUUCCUUCCCUGGCCUCUUGGAUUCUUUGUUUACUCACCUCUUUCCA
rnacentral:lncRNA from 10 species